rnacentral:rRNA from 1 species
UACGGGGGGGGCAAGCGUUGUUCGGAAUUACUGGGCGUAAAGGGCUCGUAGGCGGCCAACUAAGUCGGACGUGAAAUCCCCUCGGCUUAACCGGGGAACUGCGUCUGAUACUGGAUGGCUUGAGUUUGGGAGAGGGAUGCGGAAUUCCAGGUGUAGCGGUGAAAUGCGUAGAUAUCUGGAGGAACACCGGUGGCGAAGGCGGCAUCCUGGACCAACACUGACACUGAGGAGCGAAAGCCAGGGGAGCAAACGGG